AGCGAACGCUGGCGGCAGGCCUAACACAUGCAAGUCGAACGAACUCUUCGGAGUUAGUGGCGGACGGGUGAGUACCACGUGGGAACGUGCCUUUUGGUUCGGAAUAACUCAGGGAAACUUGUGCUAAUACCGAAUGUGCCCUUCGGGGGAAAGAUUUAUCGCCAUUAGAGCGGCCCGCGUCUGAUUAGCUAGUUGGUGAGGUAACGGCUCACCAAGGCGACGAUCAGUAGCUGGUCUGAGAGGAUGACCAGCCACACUGGGACUGAGACACGGCCCAGACUCCUACGGGAGGCAGCAGUGGGGAAUCUUGCGCAAUGGGCGAAAGCCUGACGCAGCCAUGCCGCGUGAAUGAUGAAGGUCUUAGGAUUGUAAAAUUCUUUCACCGGGGACGAUAAUGACGGUACCCGGAGAAGAAGCCCCGGCUAACUUCGUG
rnacentral:rRNA from 1 species